rnacentral:lncRNA from 1 species
AUCUACCUUACAGUAAAAUGUGACUAAUAGAAAAGGAAUAGUGGUGUCAUAUAAUACUUUAAAAAGGUUGCUAAUAGGUAAAAGUUUGAUGAGGAGUGGAAUAGUCACAUAGUCUCAAAGUAGCUACUCAUACAUUAUCUAUUAAUUAGAAAGAGAAAAGCAGUAACUUAUAGAGUGGAAAGACCCUAGCACAUACCACCUUAACCAAGUGAUACAACUUAUCAUCACCCCAAUAUUAUAGCAAACCAUGAUAGGCUCAUAUCAUGAGCCUUCUGAUACAGUUGGCUGAGAAGGAUAUGCCAUCAGUUCUGUGCUAUUUCUUCCCCACAUGCCUAAUCAAAAUCUAAUUAUGAGCAAACAUUAUGCAAGCCCAAAUGCCAAGGCCAAGUAAGAAAAAGGUCUGAGGAAAUGUUAUAGAUUAAAUGUGCCUACAGAGAUAUGGCAGCUAAAUUUAAUUUGGAGCAAUUUGAACUUUUGAUUAGAUCCUGGACUGAGUAGGUGGGAGAUAGCUAUGAGGUCAUUAUUGGGACAACUGACUAAAUAUGAAUAUGGGCUAAAGCAUAAUAGUAUUAUACAAUGUCAAAUUUCCUGAUUUGGGUUAUUGUACUUUGGUUAUGUAAGAGAAUGGCCCAUUCUUAGAAAAUAUAUAUUGAAGCAUCAGGGGUAAAGGGGAAUAAUGUUGCUAACUUUCCAAAUUACUCUUAGAUGGGAGUAGGCAUUGAAGAGAGGGAGUGGGGAUGGGGUGGGGACA